AUUGAACGCUGGCGGCAGGCCUAACACAUGCAAGUCGAGCGAGCGGCGGACGGGUGAGUAAUGUAUGGGGACUGCCCGAUAGAGGGGGAUAACUACUGGAAACGGUAGCUAAUACCGCAUACUAUCGGAUAACACAUAUUGGAGUAGCUAGUAGGUGAGGUAAUGGCGAACCUAGGCGACGCUCCCUAGCUGGGCUGAGAGGAUGAUCAGCCACACUGUGACUGAGCCACGGCCCAGACUCCGACGGAGGCAGCAGUGGGGAAUAUUGCACAAUGGGCGCAAGCCUGAUGCAGCCAUGCCGCGUGUAUGAAGAAGGCCCUAGGGUUGUAAAGUACUUUCAGUCGGGAGGCGUUACCGACAGAAGAAGCACCGGCUAACUCCGUGCCAGCAGCCGCGGUAAUAC
rnacentral:rRNA from 1 species